CAUAGCCGAGUUUUGGGCCACCUCCCAUCCGUGUCUAUUGUACCCUGUUGCUUCGGCGGGCCCGCCGCUUGUCGGCCGCCGGGGGGGCGCCUCUGCCCCCCGGGCCCGUGCCCGCCGGAGACCCCAACACGAACACUGUCUGAAAGCGUGCAGUCUGAGUUGAUUGAAUGCAAUCAGUUAAAACUUUCAACAAUGGAUCUCUUGGUUCCGGCAUCGAUGAAAACGCAGCGAAAUGCGAUAACUAAUGUGAAUUGCAAAUUCAGUGAAUCAUCGAGUCUUUGAACGCACAUUGCGCCCCCUGGUAUUCCGGGGGGCAUGCCUGUCCGAGCGUCAUUGCUGCCCUCAAGCCCGGCUUGUGUGUUGGGUCGCCGUCCCCCUCUCCGGGGGGACGGGCCCGAAAGGCAGCGGCGGCACCGCGUCCGAUCCUCGAGCGUAUGGGGCUUUGUCACAUGCUCUGUAGGAUUGGCCGGCGCCUGCCACGUUUUCCAACCAUUCUUUCCAGGUUGACCUCGGAUCAGGUAGGGAUACCCGCUGAACUUCAAGAGAGAA
rnacentral:rRNA from 1 species